UAGGAUUGAAAGAGAAAACUGGAAAGAUUGAUGGACUUAUGCUAACACAAUCAAGCCUAAAAACCAGAACAGUUGUGACAAGGUUGAAGUUCAUUCAUCAGAAGUGAAUGAGAUGGAAGUAUUCACCUCUAUAAUUUUUUUGCUCACCUUAAUAAUGAUGACUGACCAAUUAGGCUGGUCAUUGACAUUCAUUAUAAAGAUGGCCAUAACAGAUGUUAUCAGCUCCACUGAAGUAAUUUAUAUUUGGUGUCAUUGUGAUUCCUUUUCCAGCCAUGCCUCCCAAUGAUGGAGCUGAGGCAGGUAUUUCCCUUUCAUUACAUUUUUUAUUACAUUUUUAUAUCUCAAAUUUAUCUGGAACAGCAUUUUAAACUGUUUCUUAUUUUGUGCCUACUGAUCAUUGCAUUUUAGGUUAGUCAGAAUACCAGUACUGGCUUUUAUGAUGUGAUGUUUGAAAGGAUGCUUCCAAAGGAAAUUUAA
rnacentral:lncRNA from 10 species